rnacentral:rRNA from 1 species
UACGAAGGGGGCUAGCGUUGCUCGGAAUCACUGGGCGUAAAGGGUGCGUAGGCGGGUUUUUAAGUCAGGGGUGAAAUCCUGGAGCUCAACUCCAGAACUGCCUUUGAUACUGAAGAUCUUGAGUCCGGGAGAGGUGAGUGGAACUGCGAGUGUAGAGGUGAAAUUCGUAGAUAUUCGGAAGAACACCAGUGGCGAAGGCGACACACUGGCCCGUAACUGACGCUGAGGCGCGAAAGCGUGGGGAGCAAACAGG